GGGUGUGUAACUCAGAUGGUUAGAGUAGUGGACUUUUAAUCCGGGGGUCUUGGGUUCAAGUCCCAACACACCUA
rnacentral:tRNA from 1 species